rnacentral:rRNA from 1 species
UACGGGGGGGCAAGCGUUGUUCGGAAUUACUGGGCGUAAAGGGCUCGUAGGUGGCCAACUAAGUCAUACGUGAAAUCCCCCGGCUUACCCGGGGAUCUGCAUCCCAAAACUGCUUGGCUUGAGUACGGGAGAGGAUAGGGGAAUUCCUGGUGUAGCGGUGAAAUGCGUAGAUAUCAGGAGGAACACCGGGUGGCGAAGGCGGCUACCUGGACAGAACUGACGCUGAGGCACAGAAAGCUAGGGGAGCAAACAGG